rnacentral:rRNA from 1 species
UACGUAGGGGGCUAGCGUUGUCCGGAUUUAUUGGGCGUAAAGAGCGCGUAGGCGGCCGAGUAAGUCCGACGUGAAAUCUGGAGGCUCAACCUCCAGCGGUCGUUGGAAACUACUCGGCUAGAGUCCGGAAGAGGAGAGUGGAAUUCCUGGUGUAGCGGUGAAAUGCGCAGAUAUCAGGAAGAACACCUAUGGCGAAGGCAGCACUCUGGGACGGUACUGACGCUGAGACGCGAAAGCGUGGGGAGCGAACAGG